CCACCCAGGCGCUCCAGCAAUAAAAUAUUUUUUAAAUUAAGGAAACUACCAAUUUAUUCGACUCACUUCACUGCAAUAUUCACUUUAUUGUGCUGGUCUGGAAAUGUACGCACAAUAUCCCCAAGGAGGGGUUCCUGUUGUGCUGUCACCCAAAUCGUGACAUGUGCGGAGCCCCGUUGGCCUGCUUGGGAUUCCACGUGAUGUACCCUUCCCUACAUUCAGUUCUUUACCUGGAAUACGAUCUUAUUAAAAUUUUGUCAGUGUGCCUGGGUGGCUCA